AGUGAACGCUGGCGGUAGGCCUAACACAUGCAAGUCGAACGGCAGCACAGAGGAGCUUGCUCCUUGGGUGGCGAGUGGCGGACGGGUGAGGGAUACAUCGGAAUCUACUCUGUCGUGGGGGAUAACGUAGGGAAACUUACGCUAAUACCGCAUACGACCUACGGGUGAAAGCAGGGGAUCUUCGGACCUUGCGCGAUUGAAUGAGCCGAUGUUGGAUUAGCUAGUUGGCGGGGUAAAGGCCCACCAAGGCGACGAUCCGUAGCUGGGCUGAGAGGAUGAUCAGCCACACUGGAACUGAGACACGGUCCAGACUCCUACGGGAGGCAGCAGUGGGGAAUAUUGGACAAUGGGCGCAAGCCUGAUCCAGCCAUACCGCGUAGGUGAAGAAGGCCUUCGGGUUGUAAAGCCCUUUUGUUGGGAAAGAAAUCCAUCUGGUUAAUACCCGGGUGGGAUGACGGUACCCAAAGAAUAAGCACCGGCUAACUUCGUGCCAGCCGCCGCCGUAA
rnacentral:rRNA from 1 species